UACAACAAAUAUCACCAAGUUGAUUAACAAUAUAUCGAAACACCACCUUCAAGUUGCCUUAGUUGUUCACAAAGCACAUCAAUGACGGCCGCAGCAAAUUCCCCUUAAAACCAUGUAGUGAUAACGUCCUUUAUGAAAGCCUUCAACAUUGUCAUCAUCAUCGCUCCCACCAGCAAUUGAGGCUGCUUUACCACCACCGCUGAGUCAGGAGGAGGGCCUUUGGGAGUUUUCUAGAAUCAGGGAUCUGAUUUGGGUUUUGGGAGUUUAGAAUGUAUUAAUCAAUUAAUAGAGUAUUAUUCAAUUUUUUAUUUUUUUAUUUUUAGCGGUAGUGGGUCUAAUUUUCCCAAUGAAAAUUUGGCACGGACUUUAAAGCUCUAUCUCUUCAAACUGACUUUCGGCCCCACGGAAGUCCAUUACGCUGGCCGCCUGCUUAACUAUAACAGCACUACAGUACUACUAAUGCAGUCUUUUGGAAGCUCUUGUAGUGAGCAGAGUAACUGGAUUUCUGUGAUCGACGGUUUCUGGAAUUUG